GUCACUUCUUGGCCUUUUGGCUAAGAUCAAGUGUAGUAUCUGUUCUUAUUAGUUUAAUAAAAACUUAGUUCAGAUAGACCAGGGAAAAACACAACUCCUU
ensembl:snRNA U2 U2 spliceosomal RNA